UUCCGAUGUGCAACUUAUGUACUUGCAAUCAGAUUCGGCAACAAAUUAAUAAUUACAACUUUCAACAACGGUAUCUCUUGGUUCUGGCAUCGAUGAAGAACGCAGCGAAAUGCGAUAAGUAGUGUGAAUUGCAGAAUUCAGUGAAUCAUCGAAUCUUUGAACGCACAUUGCGCCCUUUGGUAUUCCAAAGGGCAUGCCCUGUUCGAGCGUCAUUUGUACCCUCAAGCUUUGCUUGGUGUUGGGCGUCUUGUCUCUAGCUUUGCUGGAGACUCGCCUUAAAGUAAUUGGCAGCCGGCCUACUGGUUUCGGAGCGCAGCACAAGUCGCACUCUCUAUCAGCAAAGGUCUAGCAUCCAUUAAGCCUUUUUUUCAACUUUUGACCUCGGAUCAGGUAGGGAUACCCGCUGAACUUAAGCAUAUCA
rnacentral:rRNA from 1 species